rnacentral:rRNA from 1 species
UUUAUGGAGAGUUUGAUCCUGGCUCAGGAUGAACGCUGGCGGCGUGCCUAAUACAUGCAAGUCGAGCGAACGGACGAGAAGCUUGCUUCUCUGAUGUUAGCGGCGGACGGGUGAGUAACACGUGGAUAACCUACCUAUAAGACUGGGAUAACUUCGGGAAACCGGAGCUAAUACCGGAUAAUAUUUUGAACCGCAUGGUUCAAAAGUGAAAGACGGUCUUGCUGUCACUUAUAGAUGGAUCCGCGCUGCAUUAGCUAGUUGGUAAGGUAACGGCUUACCAAGGCAACGAUGCAUAGCCGACCUGAGAGGGUGAUCGGCCACACUGGAACUGAGACACGGUCCAGACUCCUACGGGAGGCAGCAGUAGGGAAUCUUCCGCAAUGGG